rnacentral:rRNA from 1 species
CCUACGGGGGGCAGCAGUGGGGAAUAUUGCACAAUGGGGGAAACCCUGAUGCAGCAACGCCGCGUGAGUGAGGAAGUAUUUCGGUAUGUAAAGCUCUAUUAGCAGGGAAUAGAAAAGAUGGUACCUGAAAUAGAAGCUCCGGCUAACUACGUGCCAGCAGCCGCGGUAAUACGUAGGGGGCAAGCGUUAUCCGGAGUUACUGGGUGUAAAGGGAGCGUAGGCGGAAAGGCAAGUCAGAAGUGAAAGCCCAAGUCUCAACCAUGGGACUGCUUUUGAAACUGGCAGACUCGAGUACGGGAGAGGUAAGAGGAAUGCCUAGUGUAGCGGUGAAAUGCGUAGAUAUUAGGAGGAACACCAGUGGCGAAGGCGUCUUACUGGGCCGAAACUGACGUUGAGGCUCGAAAGCGUGGGGAGCAAACAGGAUUAGAUACCCCAGUAGUC